rnacentral:rRNA from 1 species
GACGUAGGGCGCGAGCGUUGUCCGGAUUUAUUGGGCGUAAAGAGCUCGUAGGCGGCUUGUCGCGUCGAAUGUGAAAACUCGGGGCUCAACUCCGAGCUUGCAUUCGAUACGGGCAGGCUAGAGUUCGGUAGGGGAGACUGGAAUUCCUGGUGUAGCGGUGAAAUGCGCAGAUAUCAGGAGGAACACCGGUGGCGAAGGCGGUCUCUGGGCCGAUACUGACGCUGAGGAGCGAAAGCGUGGGGAGCGAACAGG